rnacentral:rRNA from 1 species
UGCUAUACAGCAAGUCGACGCUUCUUUUUCACCGAGCUUGCUCCACCGGAAAAAGAGAGUGGCAACGGGUGAGUACACGUGGGUAACUGCCCAUCAGAAGGGGAUAACACUUGGAAACAGGUGCUAAUACCGUAUAACAAUCAAACGCAUGGUUUUGAUUUGAAAGGCGCUUUCGGGUGUCGCUGAUGGAUGGACCCGCGGUGCAUUAGCUAGUUGGUGAGGUACGGCUCACCAGGCCACGAUGCAUAGCCGACCUGAGAGGGUGAUCGCCACAUUGGGACUGAGACACGGCCCAACUCCUACGGGAGCAGCAGUAGGGAUCUUCGGCAAUGGACGAAAGUCUGACCGAGCACGCCGCGUGAGUGAAGAAGGUUUUCGGAUCGUAAACUCUGGUGGUAGAGAAGAACAGGAUGAGAGUACUGUCAUCCCUGACGGUAUCUACCCGAAGCACGCUAACUACGUGCAGCAGCCCGGUAAUCGUAGGUGGCAGCUUGUCCGAUUAAUGGGCGUAAGCAGCCAGCGGUUUCUAAUGUCUGAUGUGAAGCCCCGUCACCGGGAGGUCAUUGAACUGGAACUUGAUGCGAAAGGAAUUGAUCUAUGUUAGCGAGAUCACGUCGAAAUGGGAACCCUGCAACGGUCUUGCUGAAUUACACUAGCUGCCACAUGGACACAGUUGAUAUAUCUAUUAGCUACACCAACAAUAUGAAUGAGGUUCCUACAGAGG